rnacentral:rRNA from 1 species
AGCGAACGCUGGCGGCAGGCCUAACACAUGCAAGUCGAACGAAGUCUUCGGACUUAGUGGCGGACGGGUGAGUAACACGUGGGAACGUGCCUUUAGGUUCGGAAUAACUCAGGGAAACUUGUGCUAAUACCGAAUGUGCCCUUCGGGGGAAAGAUUUAUCGCCUUUAGAGCGGCCCGCGUCUGAUUAGCUAGUUGGUGAGGUAAUGGCUCACCAAGGCGACGAUCAGUAGCUGGUCUGAGAGGAUGACCAGCCACAUUGGGACUGAGACACGGCCCAAACUCCUACGGGAGGCAGCAGUGGGGAAUCUUGCGCAAUGGGCGAAAGCCUGACGCAGCCAUGCCGCGUGGAUGAUGAAGGUCUUAGGAUUGUAAAAUCCUUUCACCGGUGAAGAUAAUGACUGUAGCCGGAGAAGAAGCCCUGGCUAACUUCGUGCCAGCCGCCGCGGUAACAC